AAAGAAUUCAACUGAGUUUUGAUAGAAAUGACAGCUGCAUUUUAUAUGUAUAUUUUGUCUGUUUAUAGUGAGUUAAAUUACAUCAUCAUGACAGUAGUACAAGUGACACAAGCAAGGUUGAUGAUAAUCAAGGUUUGGGAAUCUACAGCAUGGAUUUGACCACUAUUUGACUCUAUGAAUGGAUUCUUUGGGGCAAUCUGAGGAGGGGCUGGACUUCAGAUCUGGAUUCAGUGGGCAGCAGAGAUGGUCCCCUGGACUUGGGAGCCAGAAAAGAGAGAGAUCCCAGGAAUAUCUUGCACCCCUAUUCUGCAGACUUGCCUGAACUGAACUUGUAUUGUCAACUAAGAAGCAAUCAAUUGGGCUUCAUCCAGUAUGUGAGUAAUGUAGGAAUGGCUGAUCCAUCUUGGAAUCACAGUGUCCAGGUCAAAGUAACAGUGUCCAAAUUUUCUGAUGCUAAAAUGCUAAAUAGCCCAGGUCUUUUAAAGCCAAGGCUGUGGGUGGCAACCAUAAGAACAUUGCGAGGAGUUGUUAUCUGAGAAAACCCAC
rnacentral:lncRNA from 1 species